CAAGUAAGGAGCAAUAUUUGGUGGAACGGCAUUAUGAGCAUAUCGGGUAAAAUCGUCAACUAGAUUAAUAGUAACAUUAGGUUUCCAAUAGGAAACCCACUCCACAGGAUCGUCAUCUUUCAGAUCACCUUGGUUAUCAUCAACAACCUCUUUCAGAAUUUCACCAGUAUCAGAACCUUCAGAAUUACCCAAUAAACUCCUCCUUUUAUCUGCUUUUGACUUGGGCAAAUACAUCACAAUAGAAUGUGUCCUUCCAAAUGUAGCCAGAGGCUGAAACUCUGGGUCAUUGGGGUCUGGAGUGUAUCCUGACCGUGCAAAGAAGACAUGUGCAUACAAAGAUCCAUUUUGUUUCAAAGCCUCAGAUGGAUAGUACUUGAGUGAAAGAGACCUUGUACUGUCAUGCCCCCAUACAGCAUAAGGUAUACUAUUCUCAUGCCAGACAAGCGCGCCUUCAUUUCCAAAGUCAUCAAACCUUUCAUGCUCAGAAAGAUACACCCACAUAUCCAGCGGUUCACCCUUCUGAAAGAGAUUGGACAUGAGAAUAGCAGGAUCAGAGGGCUUCUUGGGGGCGAAGAAUUUUGAAGCGAAGUACCAGAAGACGGCGAUCCUAAUGAUUCCAGUAAGAGACUGUGCGAAGCCUCCUUGUUGUUGUUGCUGUUGCCCUGCUCUAGGAGCUAUCGCUACUCCUCCGCCACCGCCGGGACCUACCUCUACCGCCGGCGUCGCCAUUUUCUUCUUCCCUCUGUG
rnacentral:misc_RNA from 1 species